CCUACGGGAGGCAGCAGUGGGGAAUCUUGCGCAAUGGGCGAAAGCCUGACGCAGCCAUGCCGCGUGAAUGAUGAAGGUCUUAGGAUUGUAAAAUUCUUUCACCGGGGACGAUAAUGACGGUACCCGGAGAAGAAGCCCCGGCUAACUUCGUGCCAGCAGCCGCGGUAAUACGAAGGGGGGCUAGCGUUGCUCGGAAUUACUGGGCGUAAAGGGAGCGUAGGCGGAUAGUUUAGUCAGAGGUGAAAGCCCAGGGCUCAACCUUGGAAUUGCCUUUGAUACUGGCUAUCUUGAGUGUGGGAGAGGUUAGCGGAACUCCGAGUGUAGAGGUGAAAUUCGUAGAUAUUCGGAAGAACACCAGUGGCGAAGGCGGCUAACUGGCCCAUUACUGACGCUGAGGCUCGAAAGCGUGGGGAGCAAACAGGAUUAGAUACCCUGGUAGUCCACGCCGUAAACGAUGAGUGCUAGUUGUCGGCAUGCAUGCAUGUCGGUGACGCAGCUAACGCAUUAAGCACUCCGCCUGGGGAGUACGGUCGCAAGAUUAAAACUCAAAGGAAUUGACGG
rnacentral:rRNA from 1 species